rnacentral:lncRNA from 10 species
AUUCAGGUGGGCCUAACAGACAUUUGCAACUGAGACCCUGGUGUUUACAAGAAGGAGACAAUAUAAGCAGAGUUCCUCUUUGCGGAUUGAUAUUGAAUGCAGCCUAUUCACAUCUGGGUGUGAUAACUCUAUAAAAUUGCUGCCUAAUUUGGCCUUUCUUAUGACCACAUUCAUGGCCAGGAGUGACCAGCCACAUGUCAAUGGAUGUCAUCACAAAUGCCCAGGGGCUAAACCUGACUUCACAACUUCAAAGACCCAGCUACGAGGAGAUGCAUAGAAGCCUACAGAUCAUCUUAGACCAUGCAGAUGACAGAGAU